rnacentral:rRNA from 1 species
UACGUAGGGGGCAAGCGUUGUCCGGAUUUAUUGGGCGUAAAGAGCGUGUAGGCGGUUAGAUAGGUCCGUUGUGAAAACUCGAGGCUCAACCUCGAGACGUCGAUGGAAACCAUCUGGCUAGAGUCCGGAAGAGGAGAGUGGAAUUCCUGGAUGUAGCGGUGAAAUGCGCAGAUAUCAGGAAGAACACCCGUGGCUAAGGCGGCUCUCUAGUACGGGUACUGA